GACGAACGCUGGCGGCGUGCCUAACACAUGCAAGUCAACUUGACUGAAGGAGCAAUCUGACAGUAGAGUGGCGCAAGGGUGCGUAACGCGUAAGUAACUUGCCCAAGGUAAGGAAUAACGUCGAGAAAUCGGCGCUAAUACCUCAUAAUGCAACGGAUCCGCAUGGAUAUGUUGUUAAAAGGUUUACCCGCCUUGGGGAAUAGGCUUGCGUCUGAUUAGCUAGUUGGUGUGGUAACGGCACACCAAGGCUACGAUCAGUAACUGGUCUGAGAGGAUGAUCAGUCACACUGGAACUGAGACACGGUCCAGACUCCUACGGGAGGCAGCAGUGAGGAAUAUUGGGCAAUGCUCGAAAGAGUGACCCAGCAACGCCGCGUGGAGGAUGAAGGUAUUCUAUAUCGUAAACUCCUGUGAGAGCAGACGAAAGACAGAUUAUUAAUCUGGAUGACUGUAUGCUCAGAGGAAGCCCCGGCUAACUACGUGCC
rnacentral:rRNA from 1 species